rnacentral:rRNA from 1 species
ACACUCCUGCGGGAGGCAGCAGUGGGGAAUAUUGCACAAUGGGCGCAAGCCUGAUGCAGCCAUGCCGCGUGUAUGAAGAAGGCCUUCGGGUUGUAAAGUACUUUCAGCGGGGAGGAAGGCGAUAAGGUUAAUAACCUUGUCGAUUGACGUUACCCGCAGAAGAAGCACCGGCUAACUCCGUGCCAGCAGCCGCGGUAAUACGGAGGGUGCAAGCGUUAAUCGGAAUUACUGGGCGUAAAGCGCACGCAGGCGGUCUGUCAAGUCGGAUGUGAAAUCCCCGGGCUCAACCUGGGAACUGCAUUCGAAACUGGCAGGCUAGAGUCUUGUAGAGGGGGGUAGAAUUCCAGGUGUAGCGGUGAAAUGCGUAGAGAUCUGGAGGAAUACCGGUGGCGAAGGCGGCCCCCUGGACAAAGACUGACGCUCAGGUGCGAAAGCGUGGGGAGCAAACAGGAUUAGAAACCCGGGUAGUCCCAUG